GACGAACGCUGGCGGCGUGCUUAACACAUGCAAGUCGAACGGAAAGGCCCUUCCUUGCUGGGGUACUCGAGUGGCGAACGGGUGAGUAACACGUGGGUGAUCUGCCCUGCACUUUGGGAUAAGUCUGGGAAACUGGGUCUAAUACCGGAUAGGACGACGGUCUGGAUGGUAUUGGGGAAAGUUUUUGCGGUGUGGGAUGAGCUCGCGGCCUAUCAGCUUGUUGGUGGGGUAGUGGCCUACCAAGGCGUCGACGGGUAGCCGGCCUGAGAGGGUGUACGGCCACAUUGGGACUGAGAUACGGCCCAGACUCCUACGGGAGGCAGCAGUGGGGAAUAUUGCACAAUGGGCGGAAGCCUGAUGCAGCGACGCCGCGUGGGGGAUGACGGCCUUCGGGUUGUAAACUGCUUUCGCUGGGGACGAAGCGCGAGUGACGGUACCUGGAGAAGAAGCACCGGCUAACUACGUG
rnacentral:rRNA from 1 species